rnacentral:snRNA from 1 species
AACGGCUCUCUCGGGAGCUUU